GCUGGGUGUGGUGGCGCACACCUGUAAUCCCAGCUACUUGGGAGGCUGAGUCAGGAGAAUCACUUGAACCCGGGAGGUGGAGGCUGCAGUGAGCCGAGAUUGUGCCACUGCACUCCAGCCUGGGUGACAGAGUGAGACAUUGUCUCAA
ensembl:misc_RNA Metazoa_SRP Metazoan signal recognition particle RNA